UUUCUCCGCGCGCGCCUGUUUCCUCUCCGCGAUUUUUUUCUCCUCUGUGCCCUAACCGCGACAGUUCCUCCUCCCCCUCGCGACAAAUCCCCACAGCCACAUCUUCUUCCUUCUCCUCUCCUCUGCUGCCAUCACAGCGACGCCGCACCCGUCGGUGCCCUAGCGCCGGUCAUCGCGUGCCCUAGCCGAGCUCGCCGACGCCGCUGCCCUCUUUGGAACGGAGCAGCGCCAGCCGUGCCCUAAUUGGGUUGUGCCUCCGCCGAGAUUUCUUCGCCGCCACCGACCUAGUAUUGCCGCCGGCCUUCCUCCGCCCUACAGCCGACUUCCACCGGUGUCUUAGCCUCCAGCCACCGUGCCCUAGGUCUUUCACCGACACGUCUCUGCUCGGGUGGUUUCCGGCCAGGAGCAAGGGGGGUCAAGUUUUAGUUCUUCCUGCUUGGUCCGAUUGUUAACAGCAAGUGGGAAGGAUUUCAGCAGGGGGAUUUGGUUUCGUGGGGACUUCGUUUGGUUCUAGCAGCACUCCAGUGAGCAGUUCCCUUUGUUCCAACAUUACGAGGGGCUGUGAAUUGAGGACCUUGACGCGAGACGGUAUCUCGACGUCGGAUUGGACAUUUUUUAUUUGGAGGCGGGU